rnacentral:rRNA from 1 species
GUCGCGUGUGUGAAGAAGGCCUUAGGGUUGUAAAACACUUUCAAUAAAGAAAGAAGAAAUAAAAAAAUAAAAUUUUUUUAUUUUUGACGAUAUUUAUAAAAGAAGCACCGGCUAACUUCGUGCCAGCAGCCGCGGUAAUACGAGGGGUGCUAGCGUUAAUCAAAUUUACUGGGCGUAAAGGGUGUGUAGGUUGUUAAUUUAAAUUAAUUGUUAAAUUUAUUAAGAAAAACUUAAUAAAAUAAUUAAUACUAAUUUUCUAGAGUAUAAAAGAAGUAAAUAGAAUUCUAAAAGUAGCAGUGAAAUGCUUAGAUAUUUAGAAGAAUACUAAUGGCGAAGGCAUUUUUCUAUUUUAUACUGACACUGAUACACGAAAGCAUGGGGAGCAAACAGGAUUAGAUACCCUGGUAGUCCAUGCAGUAAACGUUGUCAACUAUUUAUUAAAUAACAUAUUAUAUAAAAAAAUUUUUAUGUUAAAAAUAUUUAUGUAAAUUUAGUGAAAAAGCUAACGCGUUAAGUUGACCGCCUGGGGAUUACGACCGCAAG